UCACAAGUUUACCUAAAAACCUAAGAACUCUCUCGUACAAAAUAAAAGCCGUCUUUUUUUUUCUUUUAACUUUUCACAAUCACUGAUUUCAGAGUCGCAUUAGAUGCAUCUUCUAAACAUAUUUGUGCGCCUGUAUGAGAGAGGAUCAAAUUCCCAGUCUGUCGAUUAUGGAAGACUUUUUUCUCUUGGAUACUAACUCGACAAAGAUCACAAACCUCCCAAGAUAGCCGGUUUAUAAAAUCGGGAUUCUGUUAAUAAGGCCGGUGCGGAAAGUCACUCCAAGAUUUAAUGGAUCUGUUUAUUUGUUAUCCUCUGUUUCUGGAAUUUUUUUCUUUGUUUAGUUUAUUCUUUCUGAUAUGGUUUAACAGAGUUCGAUGUAUUAUAGAUCUUUUUUUGUAACUUAGAGCAUCUCCAAAAAAAAACUCUAUAACUUCAAAUAUAGAGUUUUUGCUCUCCAAAAAGAAACUUCAAAACUUCAAAUU